AUUGACGGCGGCGGCAGGCCUAACACACGCAAGUCGAACGGUAACAGGAAGAAGCUUUUUUUUGUGAUGAGUGGCGGAGGGGUGAGUAAUGUCUGGGAAAACUGCCUGAUGGAGGGGGAUAACUACGGGAAACGGUAGCUAAUACCGCAUAACGUCGCAAGACCAAAGAGGGGGACCUUCGGGCCUCUUGCCAUCGGAUGUGCCCAGAUGGGAUUAGCUAGUAGGUGGGGUAACGGCUCACCUAGGCGACGAUCCCUAGCUGGUCUGAGAGGAUGACCAGCCACACUGGAACUGAGACACGGUCCGGACUCCUACGGGAGGCAGCAGUGGGGAAUAUUGCACAAUGGGCGCAAGCCUGAUGCAGCCAUGCCGCGUGUAUGAAGAAGGCCUUCGGGUUGUAAAGUACUUUCAGCGGGGAGGAAGGGAGUAAAGUUAAUACCUUUGCUCAUUGACGUUACCCGCAGAAGAAGCACCGGCUAACUCCGUGCCAGCAGCCGCGGUAAUACGGAGGGUGCAAGCGUUAAUCGGAAUUACUGGGCGUAAAGCGCACGCAGGCGGUUUGUUAAGUCAGAUGUGAAAUCCCCGGGCUCAACCUGGGAACUGCAUCUGAUACUGGCAAGCUUGAGUCUCGUAGAGGGGGGUAGAAUUCCAGGUGUAGCGGUGAAAUGCGUAGAGAUCUGGAGGAAUACCGGUGGCGAAGGCGGCCCCCUGGACGAAGACUGACGCUCAGGUGCGAAAGCGUGGGGAGCAAACAGG
rnacentral:rRNA from 1 species